CGGGUGAGUAACACGUGAGUGACCUGCCUUUUAGACUGGAACAACUUACCGAAAGGUGAGCUAAUGCCGGAUGAGUUAUAUAAGUGCAUGUUUAUAUAGGAAAAGUUGGGGAGACCUGACGCUGAAAGAUGGACUCGCGUCCCAUUAGCUAGUUGGUAGGGUAAUGGCCUACCAAGGCGACGAUGGGUAGCCGGCCUGGGAGGGGUGGCCGGCCACACUGGGACUGAGACACGGCCCAGACUCCUACGGAAGGCAGCAG
rnacentral:rRNA from 1 species